rnacentral:rRNA from 1 species
AUUGAACGCUGGCGGCAUGCCUUACACAUGCAAGUCGAACGGCAGCACGGGUGCUUGCCCCUGGUGGCGAGUGGCGAACGGGUGAGUAAUACAUCGGAACAUGUCCUGUAGUGGGGGAUAGCCCGGCGAAAGCCGGAUUAAUACCGCAUACGAUCUACGGAUGAAAGCGGGGGACCUUCGGGCCUCGCGCUAUAGGGUUGGCCGAUGGCUGAUUAGCUAGUUGGUGGGGUAAAGGCCUACCAAGGCGACGAUCAGUAGCUGGUCUGAGAGGACGACCAGCCACACUGGGACUGAGACACGGCCCAGACUCCUACGGGAGGCAGCAGUGGGGAAUUUUGAACAAUGGGCGAAAGCCUGAUCCAGCAAUGCCGCGUGUGUGAAGAAGGCCUUCGGGUUGUAAAGCACUUUUGUCCGGAAAGAAAUCCUUGGCCCUAAUACGGUCGGGGAUGACGGUACCGGAAGAAUAAGCACCGGCUAACUACGUG